GUGAGUGGUAAGGAAGGGAGGGAGUGGUAUGCGGGACCCACGACCUUGGGCUCUCUGCUGUACUGGGGUUGUGGGUUACAGGGUUGGCGACCAUUCUGUGGGUUUGCCAUGAUAUUUCAAGCUUGAUGAAUGGACACAGAAUGCCUAGCCCACAUUGUGUGAGUGAUUCUGGCAUAAUUUAUGUCCCAACUGUGGAGCUCCAAUAAGCCCAUAAAUCCAGGCCAGCAUUCGAGACAAUUCCAAAUGUCAGCUACUCUGCAAACCACGAAGCUUGCAGCUUGAUGUCGGUGUCUGAUGGAAGACAUAAAGAAGCCGGGGUUUCCAUAGGUACCUUGGUUGGACUGAAGAUGAUUUAACAACUAUAAUUGCGCUCAAAU
rnacentral:lncRNA from 1 species